rnacentral:misc_RNA from 1 species
UCUACUUUUUGAGGGAGAGCGU